UGGGGAAUAUUGGACAAUGGGCGAAAGCCUGAUCCAGCCAUGCCGCGUGUGUGAAGAAGGUCUUCGGAUUGUAAAGCACUUUAAGUUGGGAGGAAGGGCAGUAAGCGAAUACCUUGCUGUUUUGACGUUACCGACAGAAUAAGCACCGGCUAACUCUGUGCCAGCAGCCGCGGUAAUACAGAGGGUGCAAGCGUUAAUCGGAAUUACUGGGCGUAAAGCGCGCGUAGGUGGUUCGUUAAGUUGAAUGUGAAAGCCCCGGGCUCAACCUGGGAACUGCAUCCAAAACUGGCGAGCUUGAGUAGGGCAGAGGGUGGUGGAAUUUCCUGUGUAGCAGUUAAAUGCGUAGAUAUAGGAAGGAACACCAGUGGCGAAGGCGACCACCUGGGCUCAUACUGACACUGAGGUGCGAAAGCGUGGGGAGCAAACAGG
rnacentral:rRNA from 1 species